AACUCGGAACCAAGAAGUUUGGUUCGCAAGGCCAAACGCUGCCCUCUCAGUGUGGUAAUGAAAGGAGACGAGGAGUUCCCCACGUCCGUUUCCCGGCCCUUCAGCUGUGCCUGGACAGCCGAGGGUUCAGAGAAGGGAGCUCCGAGGUUUACUGGCUCAUUGCUUCGGUCUUAUUACUUCACCUUUUUGGAGUGUUCACGGUGUCUUAACUUGGAGUCAAGCUACAGUUCCUAUCGGCCAUCCUGAGCUGACUCAUGAAAUGUAGGAUGAAUGGUGCAAUUGUCUUCACUUGUUUUCCUGGUUCACCUUGGGAAGCCUAACCAAGAGAAACUCUCUGCUACCAUCUUGUGGUAAACUAUAGGAAGAGACAUCAAGGACAGACUUUCUUACGAAUAGAUGCGUUGUUUCUCAAGACCAGAAGCAAACCAGAACAAGAUAGCGACACUCCUUGAAUGGUUAAUGCUUGGCAAAACAAAAUGGAGAUCCCAAAUACUAUCAUCGCAUUUGACUUGAGAGCUGCAGCUCAGGCUUUUGGCCAGACAUCUCGGACAUCUGAGGGACAAGAUGCUGAAACUCAUAAUUUGAAAGCAGAAAGUGUAUAGUAUACAAAUCAACCUCUAAUACACUCCUUUGUGUCUUUUUUUGGUAGUAAAUAUUAUAUACCUAUUAGUCAUCUUCAAAGCUUGUUCUCAGUUUUUAAUGGUUCAGCCAUGUGGCUACAUGGAUAAGUUACUCAUUUUGUAGUAAUGCUGUCUUUGGAAGGUGAGCCACUACUAUCUGAGUGCUAUAGGAGUAUGUUGAGCAAAAUUCACCCUGACAUGACAGCUUUGUUCUGGGCAGCCACACAGAUCAGUUUAUGGGAUUUCCAGACAGUAUUCACAUCCUCUCAAUGCUGAACGCUCCAUUUCAGCCCCACGUAUCCAUGCUUGGCUCAAAACUGAAUGACUCCACAUUUAUGUUACUGGAACUCCUUUGGAUAAGUUGGUAUAAAGUACUGCUGUGGAAGAACACAGUGAUAGAAUAUGCUAUCUAUCUUCAUUUUCAGGACACUAAGGCUACCUCCCUUACCUACCUCCCAGAUAAACAGAAAAAUCCUGCUUCAAACUGCUGCUUCAGUAUGUACUUUACAGUUAUUGUUUGGGAUCCUUAAAGCCUUUAUUAUUUUCUGUAUAUUUCUGAGCAUCCUUACUGGAUCAAUCUGAUUUGUUGUUGUUUUUUUUUUUUUCCCCCACAGAAAACUGGCAUUAAGUGGUCCUUUUCCCAGCAAUAAUAAUCUCACUUACUAUAAAUUAUUUUAUUUGUAGUGCCUUGGAGACACUCUAAUGCUUUUACAUAACAAAAGAACCACUUAUUUCCAAAUAUUUUAAAACUUGUUCUCAUUUUUUCCAUCAUUUUUAGUACGAAAAUCAUUGAAUUUGAUGGAAAAAAAAAUGCUGUUUUAUUUAAAAAAUCAUGUACAUAAGUGUAUGUUUAAUCAUGUGAAGGGAAACACCUAUUUCUUAAAUAUGCAAAAGAAAAUAUGAACUUUAUGUAGAUAAAUAAAACAAAAAGUAAAUGAAAGAAGUAAAUUAUGCACUGGAAUGAGCUUUUCAUUGACACUCAUGUUAAAGAUGACAGCUGUUUACAUGGAAGAGAUGCCUGAUAACAAGGCAAAUUUUCGAAACCAAACUUGCACCAGCAUGACUUUGAUUUCUAGCAAGUCUAGCUGAAAGAAGGAAACUUUAAAAACCAAUAUUAGAGGGAGAGUGAGGUCAUAUUAUGGGCUAAGAGUUUACAUAAUCCUUCUUACAUAAUGUCAGCAAUAAUUUAGUCAUGUAAGGCUGUUCAUUGUAAAACAGUGAGAGGCUGAACAGCUUACUACAGCAGCAUAAAAAUAAAAGAAAAUAAUUUUAUAUUCCAAGUACUUACUAACUCCGUUUCAGAUGAGAAAUUAUUCUGUUACCCCUUAUAUGAGCCCAGUAUGCUUUCUGGAGGCUCAAACCAGCCAGCACUCAUGCUGGAAGCUUUUUCAACAAGUACCAGGGUGGCAAUUCCAAGGUAAGCUUCUAAAUAAGUCCUCAUGUGUAGCUAUGUAGCCUCAUCUGAAGUGACGUAGAUGACACCCAAGAGGCUGAAAAUAUUUAGCACAUCCAAAUCAAGUGUAGCGCGGAUGCAAAUGUUGGUCCUCCUGAAAGAGCUCAUGAUGAGUGGCUGUGUGAUGGGAAGCAGCUCGCAUGGCUAAUGGACCAGGCAUCAAGGUGGCCAUAGGAUGUCACAUGGAAAGGGUAGUCUGUGAAGAAUGGUGAGGCUGAGUGGGAUGUGGGCCGCAAGUUGUUAGUAUUUCUAUAUAAAUGCUGCAAAUUUUAUUUCUAUGUAAUUAUUUUUGUUCAUUGUAGAAUUGUAACAGCUUUCAAUUCAAGGCUUGUGGGAGAAUAUGGUGAACAUGUGUAAGAGCAUACAGGUGUGUGUGUUUGAAAGACUGCUGGUGCUGUUCAACAAACGCAGUUUUACUCCCACGUGAGAGGAAGAAGGAACUACCAGUAACAAUUCAGUGGAUUUGAUGUUCAGGGUGUACAGAACUUUGUGGUACUAUUCUGAGUUAAAGACAUUGUUCCACUGAAGGCAGUCAUCCAGACCUCUUCUUAUGUGAAGGACUACAGUGGAAGCCAGAGCUACAAAUUAAUUUUUACCUUGUUAUGGCAUACAAGAUGCAUCAAUAUCAAAUCAUAGUAUCAAAACUUCUGCCUUCUCUGAACUGCCAGUAGGGCUUAGAGAACAAUCAACAAAAAGUCAAGAUUCUCCAGGCUGUGAUGAUUUUGGUUUGGUCAGACCACUUUCCCUUGACUUUGAUGCUUGCUUCCCAUGAACUUUGGAUCACUUGUUUUUUAUGGAAGUAGUUGUCAGCAUUUCCAGAGAGCACUGUUCUGAUGUAUCACUAUGAUUAUUCAUUGAUGUGACUACUUUUUAAACAAUUA